GCCUGGGUGGCUCAGCGGGUUGGGUGUCCGACUUUGGCUCGGGUCAUGAUCUCACAGUUCGUGGGUUCGAGCCCCGCGUCGGGCU
rfam:Felis catus isolate Cinnamon breed Abyssinian chromosome A3, whole genome shotgun sequence.